GGGUUUGGCUCAGUGGUAGAGCGCUCACCUUGCACGUGCAAGGUCCUGGGUUCGAUCCUUAGCACCACA
rnacentral:tRNA from 1 species